rnacentral:lncRNA from 1 species
AGUCUCAAAAGAAAAAUCUUAGAAGGCUGCAGAAGUAGCUCAGUGUGAAGGUUCAGGGUUCAAUCCACAGUACUGAGGGACCAAAAAAAAAAAGAAUGUCUACAUGAAGUCUAACAAAUGUUUGUUGUCCCCUAGACUUGGGAGCACAUUCAAAACAUUGGUGUAGACUGUCCAUCAGCACCACAACACGGUUACUGAGGACCCACAUAGACAAACAGGUGCAGUGAGCAGAAUAUCAGUCCUGAAUAUGUCAGUGAUAAAACAGACAAAAGCCUCUGCCCCACUAAGGCCUCAAUGGUCGGUGAUGCUGUGAUGCUCAAGAGCAAAGUUGCAUCAGCUGAAGACAUCCUGCUUCUAUGAGAGAAAAGUAAUACAAAUAGAGAAAGGUUUCACCUGGGGAGGGACAAAUUCCUUAUCAGCUUAACUCAUCCCACCUACUGUUGUAAGAACAUUUUGCUCAGCUCACCGUCCUAAUAAACAUAAGCUCCUCAUCAGCAUAAGACCCUCAUUGUCAUAGGAUUACUGCUAUCCUCUGAGUCAUCUGAUAUAUCCUCGAUUAUGAGAUCCUCAUCAAUUUAGAUUAUCACCACCCACUGAGUCCUCUGAUACUCCCUGUGAACACAAUAAAUAGUGGCAAGCUCUCGGAGUGUCUUUGUCUUUGCCUGCUCUGAGGCCCUGACCUCCUAGCCCUCUGUAUACUUGGAAAUUACGCAAGUCCCUAUUGUCUUUUUUCUUUAGCCCUCGUCAUCCCCCUUUCUAGGCAGUUGGAGGAUUGAUCG